rnacentral:lncRNA from 1 species
AACCAGCCUCCCGUCAGAGAGGGACAUGCGCAAUGCUUAUUGAGGAUAUCAUUUUCUGUGUGUGGGAAUUAGAUACUGAAGGUUACAUGGUUUACAGACAAGAUCUUUAAAAAGAGACAUUCAAGGACCAAGGAAAUAAAUACCAGAAACCAAGAGCACAGAGUAUUUUCCUUCAUCAAACCAUAGACUCUUCUCUAGUUUAAUCAAACACAAAAGAAUGACCACCUUGGCAAAUGGCCACAGAGGAUGUCAACAAUUUUUUGGAGAAUUAUGUUUUAAUGAAAAAUAAGUGUUCUUUAAUAUAGCGGUUUAUAUAAGUACAGCUAUUGUCCCCUUCCUUUUUUUUUUUUCUUUGAGCACUAUUGCAUGUGAAAAAUUACAUUAAGCCAUUUUGCACUUACCUCGAGUACUGUAUAAGACUGAAUUAUAUCCCUAAAUACAAAAUAAAAAUUUAAAUAGCUGAAAUUCAGUACCCAUGCUUGAAAACAGGGCUGUUGGCAUUUAUCUUGGAUGCACAAAUCAUAUAACUAUAAAUACUAAAUAGUUUGGAAGUUAAAGUUAUCUUCUGUUUAUUUUAAAAUUAUCCAUACCAUAUAUGAAUUUUUUUUCAUUUAAUUCCUGCACUUUUUUGGCCUCAAACAUUUUCAAGCAAUUGUUCUAAAGGGCUCCAAAAUCCUUGAGAUGUCAUCCUUUACAUCCCUAUCAGCUUUAUUUUUUGUGAGGUUCCUGCAUCACAAGAUGCCAUUGAACUUUUAGUUAUUUUUACAGGAGCUCUUAAUACUCCUGGAAAAAUAGCUGGCCAAGGAUUGUGGACCACGGUGCCAUCUUCAAUAUGAAAAUUAAUUACAUUACCCUUUAGAGGAAGUUUGGUUGAAAAGAAAUUGAAAACUGCAUUAUAACAAAAAUAAUAUAAGGAAUUUGCCUUCUCUGCUUUCAUAAACAGUAUUUAAGUGGGUGAAUAUAAAAUGAAAUAAAAGUAAACUUAUGAAAACAUAAGUAGAAUGCAAGAAAAUUGAUUUUUUCCAACAUUUUAUAUGAACAAAGAAACUGUAGAUAUGUCAGAAUUUUUAAUUUAGUGUUAAUUCAACCCAUAGGCCUAAGGUCAUCCAGCAAACGAGCCUGCUUUUUAAGUUGUACAUAAAAGGACAUUUUCCAAGUGAAGGAGGCCAUAAAUGUUUAAAAAGCCCAGUGUAGAGCCUUCUGAGUUUUCUUUCGGUAACUAGAGACAAAAUUAAUUCUUGCUUUUCUGUUGAGGAAAAUUUCAUCUAAUUACAUUCAAAUUAUUCUGCAACUUUUUGGACAGCAAAGCCUGGUCACCAAAGAAAAGAAAAAGCAGCUGUGUUGCCUUUUCCUCAUAGUUAUAAGAAUAGUAUUAUUAUGCAGUCACUAGGCUUUAUAGAACCGUAAGUGUUUAUCCUCUGACUGCCUUCUGGUAGGUACAUACCUAAACCUUUCUGAACUGCUGAUAAAGUAAGCCUUCUGUUUUUAAGGCUCUUCAAAGAAAUAGAUUUCAUUGCUUCUUUUAGCAAACCAAUCUGGAAUAACAGCUCUCAGGAGUAGGGAAUUCUUUCUUAACCCUUUUAUUGAGUGAUUGUUUCUGAAAUUUCUUUUCUCAGAAUCAUGCUUUAAUCAUAAUUUAAAUCUCUUCUUAGUUUCAUGUAAUCUACUUAAGGUUUAAGAAAAUACUUAAAGUUGAUCGCUGCUAAAAUUAAUAGAAAUAAUUUCCAUAAACAAUACUUCUCCAUUAGCAGCCUAUUGUUAAAUUUCUUCCUCUAAUAUUUCGUUUUUGAUCUUAUCUAGUGUCACAUCUUAUUUUGAUCUUAAGUUAUUCUUUAACCACAGAAACAUAUCUUGUGUCAGAUAAUUGUAAUUUCUCUUUCUUCCACACACAUUAUGUUAAGAACCAGCCCUUUGUUCUCUUUGAAUUGCAUUCUAUUUAUGACCAUGUCAUUAAUAAUUCUAAUCAAAAGUGCUGGUGAUUUCAUUUUCUUCUCAUAUUUUAAGGUCGAUUUGCAAAUUAUGAUUUAAAAAAAUGUUGAUAGUUAGAAAGGCAAUUAGAACAUCGUGGGUAUGACUAUAAGCUUGCUAUACAAGAACACAAAUUCAUAGAACAGAUUAAGACUGACUGAUUAACCACACCUGUGCCACUCCCACCAGCUGUGUUACCUUGGGUAAAUUACUGAUUCUCUUUGUCCCCCAAUUUGUAUAUCUUUAAAAUUUGAUAAUUAUAGCAUUGUAAGGAUUAAAUGGGAUGGAUAAUAUAAGUAAAAGCUUAGCUACUUAGCAGUUGGGUGGCAUAUAAUUCAAUAAAUAGGUGAUGUAAUUAUUAUACUUUUUGCAAAAGCAAUAAUGAAUUUGUCCAUUAUAUUCAUACCAGCUUUAUUUUACAUCAUGUUUCUGGUACUGCUACUAAGUUUUUUUUCACAUUGAAUUUCCUCAAUGAGCAUUUUAAAUUUUAUGUUCAAGCAUGUAAAAAUGCAGUUUAUGCAGAAAUCGCUGGUAAAACAAACAAACAAAUAAAAACAUGGUUGUUUAAAAAAAAUGGCUGGUAGCCUUUUAGUCUCAUGAAAACUAUGUAUAUUACAAAUUUUGCAGGAGGUUUUACUGGAUGUUCCUGAUUUAUUGCCUGUUCUAAAAUUUUAACUUUAUUUGAACAACUAUUACUUGGAGAAAUAUUCCAUUCACAAUGCAGAGUGAUCUAAAAAAUCUUCUUUGGAUUAAAUAUCUUU